UGGGUAAAAUGGUUUCGACCGCCCAAGGAUGGAUCUGCGGCCUAUCAGGUAGUAGUGGGUGUAGUGUACCUACUAGCCGACGACGGGUACGGGUUGUGAGAGCAAGAGCCCGGAGAUGGAUUCUGAGACAUGAAUCCAGGCCCUACGGGGCGCAGCAGGCGCGAAAACUUUACAAUGCGGGAAACCGCGAUAAGGGGACACUGAGUGCCAGCAUCUUAUGUUGGCUGUCCGCAUGUUUAAAAAGCAUGUGUUAGCAAGGGCUGGGCAAGGCCGGUGCCAGCCGCCGCGGUAACACCGGCAGCCCGAGUGGUGAUCACUAUUAUUGGGUCUAAAGGGUCCGUAGCCGGUUUGAUCAGUCUUUUGGGAAAUCUGACAGCUUAACUGUUAGGCUUCCAAAGGAUACUGUCAGACUUGGGACCGGGAGAGGUAAGAGGUACUACAGGGGUAGGAGUGAAAUCUUGUAAUCCCUGUGGGACCACCANUGGCGAAGGCGUCUUACCAGAACGGGUCCNACGGUGAGGGACNAAAGCUGGGGGCACGAACCGGAUUAGAUACCCGGGUAGUCCCAGCCGU
rnacentral:rRNA from 1 species